UGUCGCAAUGAUGGAGAUUUUUUACUUUAUAAGUGGUUUUCUUCUCUCGUAUUCCUACCAGAGCCGUGUGAAAUCUGCAAUGGAUAUUUUCGUCUUAUUGGGAAAGAAAAUCAUCAGAUUAACAGUGCCAGUAUUUUGCCUUGUAGCAGCGACGAUUAUUUUACCUCUUCUAGGAGAUGGUCCUCAUUGGAAUGACCUGUUAAACCAUGUACAGGAAAUUGCAG